rnacentral:rRNA from 1 species
AACGAACGCUGGCGGCAGGCUUAACACAUGCAAGUCGAACGGAUCCUUCGGGAUUAGUGGCGCACGGGUGAGUAACGCGUGGGAAUGUACCCCUUGGUAAGGAAUAAUAUCUGGAAACGGAUACUAAUAACUUAUAAUGACUUUGGUCCAAAGAUUUAUCGCCAAGGGAUCAGCCCGCGUCUGAUUAGGUAGUUGGUGAGUUAACGGCUCACCAAGCCGACGAUCAGUAGCUGGUCUGAGAGGAUGAUCAGCCACACUGGGACUGAGACACGGCCCAGACUCCUACGGGAGGCAGCAGUGAGGAAUAUUGGACAAUGGGGGAAACCCUGAUCCAGCCAUGCCGCGUGAGUGAAGAAGGCCUUAGGGUUGUAAAGCUCUUUCAAUGGUGAAGAUAAUGACGGUAGCCAUAGAAGAAGCCCCGGCUAAAUUCGUGCCAGCCGCCGCGGUAA